UAUGGCCGGAGCGGGGGUUCGCGCAGAAAAUUUGUCGCGUUUCCUGGAUGCCGGGGUACGGGAAGUACACAGCUCUGCCGGAACCUUGAGGGUGUCACCGAUGCGUUAUCGCAAUCAGGGUUUGUCAAUGUCGACAGACAAGCAAGCGGAUGAAUAUUCCCGCUAUGCAGUAGACGGCAAGGCGGUUGCUGAGAUGAAAGGAAUCAUCGUUCGCCAUCAGGCCAAAUGAUUUUACCGUUGCAUCAUGUCGCCCAAUAUGAUGCUUGCUCGUACCAGGCCCCUGCCCAUUCAACAGGGGCCUUUUUU
rnacentral:ncRNA from 1 species